rnacentral:rRNA from 1 species
AAGCAGUGACACAGAAGGAUAGGACGAGCGCGGUGAUGGUCAACCGCGUAGGCGGCACGAGGCUGGGGAGCAGUUAAGUACACUUCCCAAGAAGGCUGAGUGCUGACAGGACCGAAAAAGAGUAGGGAAGCGUCUGAGUUCACGCUGGCGAGAAAAGCUGCUAAGGAGAGUGUGAGUGCCCGUACCGGAAACCGACGCAGGUGGGCGAGGAGAGAAUCCUGAGACGGACGGGAGAACUCUUGUUAAGGAACUCGGCAAAAUGACCCCGUAACUUCGGGAGAAGGGGUGCCUCGAAAGAGGCCGCAGAGAAUAGUCACAAGCGACUGUUUAGCAAAACACAGGUAUCUGCGAAAGCGAGAGCUGACGUAUAGGUGCUGACGCCUGCCCGGUGCUGGAAGGUUAAGGGGAAGUGUUAGGGGAAACCCGAAGCAGAGAACCGAAGCCCCAGUAAACGGCGGCCGUAACAAUAACGGUCCUAAGGUAGCGAAAUUCCUUGUCGGGUAAGUUCCGACCCGCACGAAUGGCGUAACGACUUGUGAGCUGUCUCAACAGGAGGCCCGGUGAAAUUGAAGUAUGUGUGAAGAUGCACAUUACCCGCGACUGGACGGAAAGACCCCGUAGAGCUUUACUGUAACCUGACAUUGGAUCUUGAUAACGGAUGCACAGGAUAGGUGGGACGCAGAGAGACGAGGACUUCGGUUUUCGUGGAGCGGCCGUUGGGAUACCACUCUUCUGUUAUUGAGAUUCUAACCUCAAGCCGUAAGCCGGAUGAGAGACAGUGUCAGGCGGACAGUUUGACUGGGGCGGUCGCCUCCGAAAGAGUAACGGAGGCGCCCAAAGGUACCCUCAGAAUGGAUGGAAACCAUUCGAAGAGAGCAAAGUCAGAAGGGUGCUUGACUGCGAGACCAACAAGUCGAGCAGGUACGAAAGUAGGGCUUAGUGAUCCGGCGGUAAGAGAGUGGAAUUGCCGUCGCUCAACGGAUAAAAGCUACCUCGGGGAUAACAGGCUGAUCUCCCCCAAGAGUUCACAUCGACGGGGAGGUUUGGCACCUCGAUGUCGGCUCGUCGCAUCCUGGGGCUGAAGCAGGUCCCAAGGGUUUGGCUGUUCGCCAAUUAAAGCGGCACGCGAGCUGGGUUCAGAACGUCGUGAGACAGUUCGGUCCCUAUCCAUCGUGGGCGAAGGACACAUGAGAGGAGCUGCUCCUAGUACGAGAGGACCGGAGUGGACGCAUCACUGGUGCAACUGUUGUCGUGCCAACGGCACAGCAGGGAAGCGAAAUGCGGAUGGGAUAAACGCUGAAGGCAUCUAAGCGUGAAGCCCACCUCAAGAAUAAGUGUCCCAUUCGAAAGAAGUAAGACCCCUGGAGGACUACCAGGUGAUAGGUCAUCGGUGAAAGAGUGGCAACAUUUGGAGCUUGGUGAUACUAAUCGGUCGAGGACUUGACC